rnacentral:lncRNA from 1 species
CUUUUAUUAAAAAAAACCCUAGAAGAGAACCUCGCCUUUGCUUAAGAUAGCCGGACACUUUCUGACUUUCCCUUCUGUCAGUUUUUCAUCAACAGGUUUGCCUCUGACCAGAACAUCAAUGGAUGUUAGUGUAAAGAGAUGGAGCAUGAUACGCCCUGCUCAAGAUACUCCUAAAGAAAGGCAAUGGAUUUCAAAUCUGGACGUGGUGAUGACAACAUACCAUCUCCCUUUGCUGUUUUUCUACAAACCAAAUGGCUCCUCUGAUUUCUUUAAGCCUCAAGUGCUACAGGAGGCUUUAAGCAAGACUCUUGUGCAAUUCUAUCCUAUGGCUGGGAGGUUGGGGCGUGAUGAAAAUGGUAGGCUCGAGAUAUUAUGCAACGCAGAGGGUGUUCUGUGGAUAGAAGCUGAAACUACAUAGGCCAUGGAUGAUCUCGACGGCUUUACUCCCUGCUCAAAACUGAGGAAACUGGUUCCCACGGCUGAUUACUCUGGAGAUAUCAGUUCUUAUCCGCUUAUUAUGGCUCAGGUAAGUGAUUGAAGAACUGUUAUCUUAUUAUAGAUGAUAGCUGUUACUUGCAGUAGGAGACCAAGGAUAAGCUCCGAGAAAACUCAAACAGCCUGAUACUGAAGUUAAAGCACAAGAAAAACUAAGCUAUCAGCUAAGAAGUUAAUAUAUGGCUUUUUUUUUCAAAAUUGACAUUAAUUAUGAAAAUGAACCAGGUAUAAAAUCUUACACUAGAGGUGCCGCUAGACUCAUUGGCGACACCGGUAAUUUUGUAAAAAGUAUUACCAUCGACAAAGUAUAGAUACUUUACGUUCAUCUUCACAAGAAAGUGCUAUAAGGUCCAUGGUGGUGGCUUAGUGUUGAAGAAGAUGAAACCGGAACCUUUUGCUGUUUAGUGAACCUCUCAUAUUUAAUAAACAUUUUAGCUCGUCAGAUACAACGAUAUUUUAAAUGAAAACAACUGUAAUAAUCCUCACUGAAGAAAAGCUAAGAACAAGAUUAAUCAAAGCUAAGAAUAAGAUUACAAGAUUAUUACAAAUGAGUCGAACGAGAGGUUCAUUGAAGAGAAAAAGGUUUUGGUUUCAUCUUCUUCACUGCUAAGCCAACACCACGGAACUCUUAGCACUUUCUUGUGAAGCCGAACCGAAAGUAUUAAUACUUUAUUGAUGUUAUUACAAUCAAUAAAGUAAUGAUACUUUUUACAAAACUAACACCGGUGCUACCAAUGAGUCUGGUGGCAUCUAAUUUUUUUAGAACAUGGGAAUAAGAAUGGUGACACUAAAUUUUACCGUAAAAAACGGAUCAUUCUUGUGAAAGAUUUUGCAUAACCAUAUUAAAACAACUCUUACUGGAUCAAAAGGGAUUCAGAUCAAAUAACUCUGACAACAUCUCAAAUUAUUUGUCCAUAACCAUAUUAAAACAAUUACAGAAUAAUUGAAAUAUAUUCAAAAUUUUAAAUUAAAUUAAGUUUGGAUCAAACUCACUGAUGAUAUAUGAUUUACCUAAAGUGAAACAAGAAAUCAAAAAUACAAAAUUUAUGGGUAAAUUUUUGUUUUGGUCACUUAAUUAAAAAAUUAUAAUUUGGUUAUUGAACUAUUCAAAAGUUUUCUUUUAAGUCAUUGGAUUGUUAAAAUUGAUGUUAUAUGACUUUCUCUGUUCACAGUGC